UAGCCAAUACCUCUUGGUGAAAGAGCAUGAUCCGAGGUACAUAGCACUAAGUUGUGUCGCAUCAUGGUAUUUUCUAAUCUAUGAGGCAAUUCAUUUAGGACAUUGGCUUAUAUAAUCUGUGUUAUCUUAUGCAUGAUUCUUGUUUAUGGGUGUAGCUUCCGUCAAUGCUUUUAAGCUGUUUUGUUUAUAUGUUAUCAAUGCUUGGAUCCAUUCCAAAGAAUCAACAAAGUUAUUCUGCAUUUUGAUGUUGAAGAUCGCAAACUUCGCCUCAUUUUUCGACCCUAUCCUUAGUAUACAUUGCAAGCAUAAGACCCUGCUGGUUUUGAAUGGAGUAAGAGGUUCACAUUCCUGUCUGAGAAAGUAGUGAGCAUGUUCUUUAAUCAGGCUCCUUGAGGUAACCCACCCAACUCUGGGCCCAGGCAAUACUAAUGCUGCAUAUUUGGUGAGCUCUAGUUGACCUUCAGAGACUAAAUCCUUAGAAUGCCCAUAAUGGAGGUUGAGGAUCCUCUAUCUAGGUCUCUCUCAUUCCCUUGUACCAAGGCUCUUCCCUAUUACACUGGGGUGCAACUUGGGCGGGCCGGGACUCUCUCUAAUGUGCUAAAAUUUUGGGCUUAGGCAGUAUAAUUUGAAAUUUGGUCAAGGUUGGGGCUAAAGUUUGCUAAAUUGGCCUUGACUUGGGUAGGUGCUCUCACUACCUAAGCAACUCGAAUUCUAUUAAUACAUGUAAAAUAUAUAUGGUAAACACUAUAUUGUAACGUAAAACAUUCUACUUUUUUUCACAUUAACUCAAACUAAUUUUCUUAACA